GAUGAACGCUGGCGGCGUGCCUAAUACAUGCAAGUCGAGCGAAUGGAUUAAGAGCUUGCUCUUAUGAAGUUAGCGGCGGACGGGUGAGUAACACGUGGGUAACCUGCCCAUAAGACUGGGAUAACUCCGGGAAACCGGGGCUAAUACCGGAUAACAUUUUGAACCGCAUGGUUCGAAAUUGAAAGGCGGCUUCGGCUGUCAUUUAUGGAUUGACCCGCGUCGCAUUAGCAAGUUGGUGAGGUAACGGCUCACCAAGGCAACGAUGCGUAGCCGACCUGAGAGGGUGAUCGGCCACACUGGGACUGAGACACGGCCCAGACUCCUACGGGAGGCAGCAGUAGGGAAUCUUCCGCAAUGGACGAAAGUCUGACGGAGCAACGCCGCGUGAGUGAUGAAGGCUUUCGGGUCGUAAAACUCUGUUGUUAGGGAAGAACAAGUGCUAGUUGAAUAAGCUGACACCUUGACGGUACCUAACCAGAAAGCCACGGCUAACUACGUGCCAGCCGCCGCGGUAA
rnacentral:rRNA from 1 species